GAUCCAAUCAGCCACAGAAACAUUUUAAACUUUAAACUUCUCUUCACUCCAUAAUUCACUUUUUAGGAUCUUUGACUGUUUUUAUAAAAUAAUUGUUUAGGUUUAAUGAAAAUUAGGAGCAUUAAAAUAAACCUUUGCAUUAAUUAGAAACUUUGUGAAGAGUGUUGAUCUUCUUCAUUCUGUCAUCAUCCUCACCUCUUCCUCCUCCCACUAGUUUCCUCUGAGUUUGUAAAUGAGAGCAAAAUGUGGUGAUUGUUGUCUGGCUCCAGAAAAAGUCCUAGUUUCUGUCAGAUCCUCCCAAAGCUCUGAGAACUCUGCUUCCAGAGCUGGAACCAUUUUCCUCAUCAACUCUUCAUCUGCAGCUUUUGUUGAAGCUGUUAGCCAUGAAGACCUGGAGAGACAUGAGCUUCAACUCUUUAGACAUCCCAGCCUCUUCUAGUUACUGGAGAACUUUCACUGCUUCACCAUGAAAAAUGCUGCUGGACCCAAACGCUCUGUUUUGGUCUUCAGCUCUUUAGGAGUUUAGCAACAAUUUCUUCUGACAUCCAAACCUUUGUUCCUCUGAGCCAAUGGACAGACCACUGCAGAGACAUGGUUCCCCCUUCCAACCAGUUUGUCCCAGUUCCUCUCAGAUCAACAGUCUGGGAGGUUCAGACCUGAAGGAGCAGCAGGCCCGGUUCUGCUGCUGCUCUGCAGGACGACCAGAACAAUCUGAAGCUUUUAGCUGCAGCAGGUUGACGACUGUCCAUUUUCUACUUUGUUAAAGCAUCAAAUCCAGCAGAUGAACGGAGUCAGAACUGGGAGCAUCAUGAUACUGGUCUGCUCCCAGUGCCUCUGUGGCAGCAUUUAAUAACCUGCUUCUGGGAACUAUGGUUCUAUAGAAUAUACUAUUAUUAUUAAUGAUGAUGAUGAUUCUAGAUGCUGCAGCAGAUAUUGGCUAAACAAACCCAGAGAUGCCAGAGGUCCACAGCAGGCUGGACUUCCUGCUCUGCUCACUUCAUUUCUAACUCACUUCCUGCUUGGUGGAAGAUCUCAAGGAGCCAAACGGCCUAGUCCAAGUCCGAGCUAUGAUAGAAGAUCUUCAACAUCUGACUGCAGCUGAAGGUCUGAGGACAUGAAGCCUGGACCAGAACCAGAACCAGAACCUGGACUUUAACCAGGACCUGCACAGAUUCUCUGUGGGGUCAAACUCAGUAAAUUGAAGAUCAGAUGUUGAUCAGAUGAUGACAUCACUGUUAUCAUAUUUUAGUCUGUUUAUGAUCCAGAUUGAUUUCAUUAGAACUGAAUUUAUUUCUUCUCUAAU